GACAGAGGUGCCGAGCGUUAGGCGGAAUCACUGGGCUUAAAGCGUGUGUAGGCGGACCCGUAAGUGUUCGAGUGAAAUCCCACGGCUCAACCGUGGAAUGGCCGGGCAUACUGCGGGUCUUGAGCGAUCCAGGGGCGGACGGAACAAGUGGUGGAGCGGUGAAAUGCGUAGAUAUCGGGAGGAACACCUGUGGCGAAAGCGGCUCACUGGACCAUAACUGACGCUGAUGCACGAAAGCUGGGGGAGCAAACAGG
rnacentral:rRNA from 1 species